rnacentral:rRNA from 1 species
GAUGAACGCUGGCGGCGUGCCUAAUACAUGCAAGUCGAGCGAACGGACGAGAAGCUUGCUUUUCUGAUGUUAGCGGCGGACGGGUGAGUAACACGUGGAUAACCUACCUAUAAGACUGGGAUAACUUCGGGAAACCGGAGCUAAUACCGGAUAAUAUUUUGAACCGCAUGGUUCAAAAGUGAAAGACGGUCUUGCUGUCACUUAUAGAUGGAUCCGCGCUGCAUUAGCUAGUUGGUAAGGUAACGGCUUACCAAGGCAACGAUGCAUAGCCGACCUGAGAGGGUGAUCGGCCACACUGGAACUGAGACGCGGUCCAGCCUCCUACGGGAGGCAGCAGUAGGGAAUCUUCCGCAAGGGGCGAAAGCCUGACGGGGCAACGCCGCGUGAGUGAUGAAGGUCUUCGGAUCGUAAAACUCUGUUAUUAGGGAAGAACAUAUGUGUAAGUAACUGUGCACAUCUUGACGGUACCGAAUCAGAAAGCCACGGCUAACUACGU